GCUGGAGGCUAGAUGGAAUUUGGGCUGUUUCAAGGAGGGGCGAAGGGACAGAUCACUGGGACCCCUUCUGGCUUUGGAAUCUACGAGAACCCGGCUUCUAAAGCAAAUUUCAGCUGUGUUUAGUAUGCACCAAACAGGAGCAACAUCCAAAACCCACUCCCUCGAAACCCACCCCCAGCCUCCGACCCCACCCCUCUCCCAACACCAGCCAGCACAAGGACUGAGUAACCUUUAGGCUCAUUUUAAAGACACUAAAGUUUUUAUGCCUUGGGUUUUAAAAAAAAGGCAGCCAAGAGGCAUGGCCAAAGGUAGGGCAACAAUUUAGCCCUGUUCCCGAGACACGAUCAAUGGAGUCUAACCUAGAACAUCUGGUGCUGGGCUCGUUUUGUCCUGGGAUUUGGGCGUUGGUAUUUCCAGGGCUAAAGGGUCAAUUCCCUUUCCCCACCCUUCUGAUGUUUGUACCUAUCAUUCCAAUCCUGGCCACGAACAGCAGCACGCUUCCCAACGGCAGGCCCACGGCAUAGUAGCCAACUGUAUUCAAGAUCGCGCCGAUCUUCUGCUUCCCUGUGCCUCUUAGCACUCCACUGGUUACGCACUGCGAGGGGGGAGGACAAGAUGACUCUGAAGGAUGUGCGCUGGUUGCAGUAAGUCCCCUAGGCUGGGUGCUGGCUGCAGCACUGCCCACGCAUACUGGUUGCUUUACUUCCCCUUACUGACCUCUAUCGAACCCCCGGGGGGACACCCUCCCCACAGCUGAGCUCUCGCUUCAUGGCUGGUUGCAGCCAGGCAGCUGGUAACCCCUGGAAGCUUGUAUAAGAGCCUUGCCCCAGGAGAACCUGCUUUCUUCAAUACAGCCCCUGGCAAAUGACCACUGUUUGUCUCUCUUCUGUACUCAUUGCUCUGUCUCCUGCUCACAGAUGAGCCACACAGUAAUUCCUGUAGGCCCACAGGUAGGGAAUGUUUCCUGCAUUCGUUUCCUUUCCUUUCCCCAUACCUACCCCGUCCCUUCCAUCUGAAUGCACCAUGCAUUGACUAUUAGCCCUGCUAUUAAAGGAUUUUCCUUUUGGCCAGUUUCCCCAUUACAUCGGACGUAUUCGUUCCUCUGAGUCCUUCCCUAGGGCCUGUGAUCUUGGAGGCAGACAUUACCCAGGCUCUUAGCCAUGGGGAUAACUCUGGACUCUCUCCUUGAUCAACCUGGAGCCGAAUUCCACCAGCAUCGGAAAUAAUGUCUGAGAGCAAAUGCAGCAGCACGGUGAAUUCCCUGAGGUACUUACACAGCCGGCUUCGAACACGUGGACGGCCAUGUACACUGGUAUGACCCAAGCCACCAGGGCGAUGAUCUCUCUGUUUAAGGAAUGGAGGAGGCAAUCAGGCUCAGAAGGUGCAUCUGUCACAGCUAAACCAGCUCAUGCCCCGAACACGUCGCUGCAUUCCGUACAACCUGCUGAUCCUCGCAGACUUGCACAAACAUGCCUGGAGAGAGACUUGCUCACAGCACACGCUUUACAGUGCGACCGAGCACAACAGUACUACAGGGCCAUGCCGCAGGCUGGGACUGAACUGAGUUACAGGAAGUCUUGACCCUCAUUUCUGCUGCCGCACUGGGAAAAGUCAGCACCUCAUCAGUCACUCUUCACUCCCGGCUGGCUGGUCUUUAACCAGCGAUUGAGGGUUUCGGGUGUCUUCGGGUGUGAUCAGGAAAAGUCUGUUGGGCCGGGUGGCAUCUGUACCGCCCUGCUAACUAAGCUUUUUGCAGCAGGCUUUCCCCGUGACUGGAUCAGCUGACGUCUUCCGAAACAAAAUUUGCUCUGAUCCAAAUAAAGAGGCACAUACACCAAGGUGCUCUCUCCUUCGAGUGAAGCCCAGCUCAGAUGCAGCAUCGUUUUUCCAGCGAGAUCCCUGCUUUGUACUCAGAUGAUGCAUGAGCUGGAGCGUAGGAGAAGGCAAGUGGGUCCACCCCAUGCGUUAAGGUCCCCUGCAGUCACUGGGAACCUCUCCCCUGACUUCAGUGGGCUUGGGAGCAGGCUCUCCUAAGCCCCCAAACAAUUCUUCCCUUGGCUCAGUCUUUAAUAGUAACUUGUAUCUUUGUUGUGAAAGACUGUAGUACCGAAUCGGAGCAACUCACCUGUCACUGGUAAAUAUGUAUCCCAGCACAUCCUUUGUGGCUGCUAAUAUGACGUCCACCACCAGGCAAAGAAACCCUGAAAAGCAGAGUCAGGAGUCAGUCGGGCAGAGCAACCACAAGCUGACGACUACGUGAAAUCCAGUUCCUGUCAGGGCCUGAGCAACCUGCCUCAGGCCACAAGUGUAAACAAAACUGGGGCUGUCACCCUGGUCCCUAGGUGCCCAUAUCACUAAAUAACUGCAGGCAAUCCGGCUGAGUCCUAGGGCUGGAAACAAUAGGAUACUGCAGGGGAGAACUUAGGUGCAACUGGCAAAGAUCAGUGUAGGAAGCUUGCAAAACCAGCUGCCUUUGCUAUGCCCAGCACUAGGCAGAGCCAUGAGCAUCUCGCUUUGACUGGCACUGUAGCAUACAGACUGACCACCCAGGAGGGAUGGAGCCAAUGCAGAGUCACUAGGCUGACCAGACAGCAAGUGUGAAAAAUUGGGACAGGGUUGUGGGGACCCUAUAUAAGAAAAAGCCCCAAGUAUCGGGACUGUCCCUAUAAAAUUGGGACAUCUGGUCACCCUAAGAGUCACACACCUGUGCACAGAAUGCUGGUGAUGGAAGAUCUCUUGGCCUCCUCUGGGUUCCCAGCACCCAGCGCGUUCCCCACCUGAACGCUGACGGCUACGCUGAGUCCAUAGUGAAUCUGAAAUCCCAAAGCACCGACACACGUUGGUCUGGGGAGGGGACAUCAUGGGCGACCCAGGGGCACAAGUGUUACAAACACCUCCAGCCGAGACAAUUGCUAGGAGGCGGCCCGUGAGCUAAUGAAGGUGAAUGUGGACGGAGCUCUGCAGAGCAUGAGGUAAAACUUUAGGUCGGGCAGAGGGAGGGGCAACAGCCAGGUGUAAUCGGCGCACGGGCAGGUAGCCACGAAAGCGGAGGUUCUCAUCCUGCCUCUGACCCUGAUUCCCAUCUGUGACCUUGGGCAAGUCACUUCACCUCCCAGCCUCAGUUUUCCCAUCUGUAAAUAAGGGAUAACAUUGGCCUACCUGACGGCUGGGGAGUGCAGAUAACGUCUCUCUAAACCCCAGACUGCAGGGUAUUAUGGAUUGACAGGCUGGGAGCAGGAGACAGGGACAGGUCUGGGCACAGGGGGUGACAGUGUGGAAGCUGGGCCCAGGAGACAGAUGUGGGACAUGUUUGGGGCUGAUUAUAGUUAAGGCUAACGCUUCAGUAUGACUGGCUGUCUGGCUUCCUCUGCCAAUUCAGACCAUAAGAGCUUCAGAGCAGGGGCUGUCUUGCAUUGCUGGUCAGCGCCCAGCAUGACAGGGCCCCACUCUCAGGGAGGGCCUUUAGGUGGUGCCGGAACGUAAAUAAUAACCCCAAAUUCUUACCAUGUACGACACAAUGGACACCUCAUAAAUGAUGGAUUGUGCGGAAAGCUCCACUACGCUCAGCAGGCCUGAAUUUGGGGGGAAAAGUCAGAAUUUUGUAUUCUGAUCCCCAGAAAAGGAGCCUUUUAAAGAGCAGGUGAUACGUCAGGCAGAUCGGUGGCUCUCAACCUGUCCAGACUUCUUUCAGGAGGCCAAUUUGUCUUGCAUACCCCAAGUUUAGAAACUCCCUCACUUAAAAACUACUUGCCUAGAAAAUCACACCUAAAAAUACACAAGUGUCAUAGCACACUAGUACUGAAAAAUUGCUUACGUUCUCAUUUUUUACCAUAUAAUUAUAAAAUAAAUCGAUUGGAAUAUAAAAGAUUGUAGUUACAUUUCUGUGUAUAGUCUAUAGAGCAGUGUAAACAAGUCACUGUCUGUAUGAAAUUUCAGUUUGUACUGACUUCGGUAGUGCUUUUUACGUAGCCAGUUGUAAAAGUAGACAAACGUCUAGAUAAUUU